UACGUAGGGGGCUAGCGUUGUCCGGAAUCAUUGGGCGUAAAGCGCGCGUAGGCGGCCCGGUAAGUCCGCUGUGAAAAGUCAAAGGCUCAACCUUUGAAUGUCAGCGGAUACUGCUCGGGCUAGAGUCCGGAAGAGGCGAGUGGAAUUCCCGGUGUAGCGGUGAAAUGCGUAGAUAUCGAGAGGAACACCUGCGGCGAAGGCGGGUUGCUGGGCUGACACUGACGCUGAUGCGCGAAAGCCAGGGGAGCGAACGGG
rnacentral:rRNA from 1 species